rnacentral:rRNA from 1 species
AAGAAACCAACAGGGAUUGCCCCAGUAGCGGCGAGUGAAGCGGCAAGAGCUCAGAUUUGAAAUCGUGUUUCGGCACGAGUUGUAGAGUGUAGGCGGGAGUCUCUGUGGAGCGCGGUGUCCAAGUCCCUUGGAACAGGGUGCCUGAGAGGGUGAGAGCCCCGUAGGGUGCUGCGCGAAGCUUUUGAGGCCCUGCUGACGAGUCGAGUUGUUUGGGAAUGCAGCUCUAAGUGGGUGGUAAAUUCCAUCUAAAGCUAAAUAUUGGCGAGAGACCGAUAGCGAACAAGUACAGUGAUGGAAAGAUGAAAAGAACUUUGAAAAGAGAGUGAAAAAGUACGUGAAAUUGUUGAAAGGGAAGGGCAUUAGAUCAGACUUGGUGUUUUACGAUUAUCUUCUCUUCUUGAGUUGUGCACUCGUAUUUCACUGGGCCAGCAUCGAUUCGGAUGGUAAGAUAAUGACAGUUGAACGUGGCUCCAUUCGUGGAGUGUUAUAGCUUCUGUUUAUAUUGCCUGUCUGGAUCGAGGGCUGCGUCUUUUGACUAGGAUGCUGGCGUAAUGAUCUAAUGCCGCCCGUCUUGAAACACGGACC